AAGCUCGUAGUUGAAUUUCGGGGUUCUACCGUUGGUCGGGCAAUAGUCUGUACUGGCGUGUGGAAUUUCUACCUUCUGGGGAACCAUCAUGCUAUUUAUUUAGCGUGAUGGGAAACCAGAACCUUUACCUUGAAAAAAUUAGAGUGUUCAAAGCAGGCUUACGUCUGAAUACAUUAGCAUGGAAUAAUAAAAUAGGAUGGUGGUCCUGUUUUGUUGGUUUCUGAAUCACCGUAAUGAUUAAUAAGGAUAGUUGGG
rnacentral:rRNA from 1 species